CAACUGUGUCUGGGAGCUGACGUGUCUUGGCUGAAGUCAGCAUUAAAGCUAAUUAUCUAGGUCACUGCAGGGAGAACAGCUGCAGCCCUCACUCAGCCAGGCAGCUCUUGAGGCUGGGCAGAUGCACCGUUCUUGAUACUUCAAUUAAUGGAUCAUCUGAGAACAAAACUCCUUUUGAAAAGAGUUGGCAUGAGCUUUAAGAGAAAUGCUUCACGUAUGAUGCCAAGUGGAAAAGAAACACAAGCAGUUAAUUCAGAAAAGCUUCUGGACAGAUUGAUUUUCCUUCACCCAGGACCCUCUCACUUCAACUGAUCAUUAUUUUCCUUUGACCAAACCUAGAAGAACUAGAUAUCAAGUAGAUUUGAUUGAUCACCUACUUAUAUUUUAAUGUGAAUGAGUUAAAAGUUGAACUAAAACCCCAUUUUAAUUUAAAAUCUUUAUUCUUAACUGUAGUUUGAUCAUUUUCUUCAGCAAGCAUGAGGUAUCUUCCUGGGAGCUGUUUAGGAAAAAAAUCUUCAACAGGGGAUUCCUCUAACAUGCCAGAUUCCUGGCUUUCAUGUUGUCUCAGUCCUCAAUCUGCUUGAAAACACUCCACCACACCACACUCACCUCUCCUAACCAAAUAGACCCUGCUUUCCUCCAUUAUGACCCUAGUGCUUGAGAUAAAUAUGUCCUUAUUAACACUUGGAAAGUAAUCCAGUGUCUGAAAGGAAAUCUGAGACAAUGAUGAUGAACACACAAAUUGGGAGUAUCUAAGAUAAUAAAACACUUUUUUUUUGUCCUAUCUGGACACUUGGCCUUCAGAGUCUACCUCAGAGGUACACCUGUAGUCCCUUAUCUCUCUGGUCUUGCCUGUCCUCCACUCCUACCCAUCCCUAGUCCCUUUUAGCCAUCUGCCCACUUGGGUAUCCUAAGUUCCCACUUGGUUUCACCCAAUUUCCUUCUCUUUUCAUCCAUUGUCUCCCUCUAAGGUGUCCCAUAGAAUUAGCAAGUCUAAAAGAAAAACAUUUCUUAGGCUAAUAUUUACUAUCCUGAAAGCAUAAUAGACUCCGUGUUGUGCUAACAACGUCCUUUUUUGUCCUUCUUACUUAAUGAAUCUCUCCAUGGAAGGAAAUGGCAAAAAUAAAAAAUAAAAAAAAAAUAAAUAAAAUAAAAAGAUACACACUUUCAUUUGUCCUUAUAUACUUGUAGUAAAACUGUAAACCAGCAUAUUUAGAAAAGCCUGUGCUUGGGGUGGGGGUGGGGCCUCUCCCAGGACCAGUGGGUCCUUCUAAUGUCCACCCAAAGAGGAGUGUGCCAGUGAGCCCACCCUUCCCUUGUCCUGUGAGCAGUAGCUCCAACAGGAGUCCAAGCCAUCCCUGAAGAAGAACAGUGGAAGUACCAACAUGCCUGCCAUUUGUCUCCUUUUCCUGAGAGUGAGGACUCCCCACUCUCAGUAUAGCCUUCCAGCAUGACCCUGUGUCCCACAAGCCCAAUCUCUGGACAAUUCUCAGUAGGUGGGUCACAGCAGUUGGCAGCACAUCUCCCAAAUUAUCUCCACGGGGCAAUCCCACGACAGCAGCAAGGGCUGGAAGGUGGUGACAAGGAGGGUCACCACCUAAAUUCAACAACUGUGUUGUUGCAUACCAUGAUUCUGCAGGCAGGCUUUUAGAAACAGAGUGGCUCCAGUGAAAACGAAGAGCUGAGACAGACAAACUAAUGGACAGCCAGAAGACCCUAGUCUCUGCAGACCCUGACAUCAUGGAGCAGGCAUUAGCCAAGUGUGGACUCAAACAGCUGCAGGAGGGAGGAGUGCGACUGCACUUCUCCUGAGCUUCUCUGCAUGAUUCCACCCAGGAGCACAUUUGGAUCCAUCAGGAGCCUCCUCUGUCCCCACCUGCCAUCAGACAUCAGAGACUCUUUUCCCUUGGACGUUUCCCCUGCCCUGCUCUUUGUCUUUUCUCCUAUGCUUCUGGGAUAGCAGAGAUAGUAUUUAAUAAAUUUGUUUCUCACAAAUUGUAUAAUGUUAUACAAAUGUUCCAAAUAUUUUUUUAAAAAAGCAGAUUAACAAAAAAAAGUAGACGACAAAGAAAGAAGGAGGCCUCAGGGUAAGGGCAGGAGCCCAGUAACCAUCCUGUCCAAGGCCUGGACUACUGUGUCUCCCUCUCCUGUUCAGUGUAGAUGGAGACUUGCUUACCUUGAGCCAGUGUGGAUGGGAAUUCAUUUUCCUUGAGCCAUUGUAGUUGGAAAUUCUCUCCCCUUGACCCAGUGUAGAUAAAGAUUCUCUCCUUGAGCCAGUAUAGACUUCUGCUUCCUUAAUUUAUUAUUUUAAAAUAAUAUUCAUCUUUGUUUCAUUUUUGAUAGGCAGUUAUUUUCAUUAUCUCAAUAUCCAAUUGUUUUAGUACCACUGAUUAAAUAAACUGUUUUC